rnacentral:lncRNA from 1 species
UCUAGGGAAAGGGUGGAUGGUCCCGGUAUAUAGAGAACCCUACAGUGAACGUAACCUUAGUCGGACGGGGCUGGAAAAUCCCAUAUCGGAAAGUUUUGGGAGAUAUGGUUCACCCUCAUACCGGACAGGGUAUCGAAGCGAUGGAAUGUUUGGUGCCCAUUACAGGACGGGUUGUGGAGAUGGCCAGUUAAUUGUUAAAAU